UAGGGAAUCUUCCACAAUGGGCGAAAGUCUGAUGGAGCAACGCCGCGUGAGUGGAGAAGGGUUUCGGCUCGUAAACUCUGUUGUUAAAGAAGAACAUAUCUGAGAGUAACUGUUCAGGUAUUGACGGUAUUUAACCAGAAAGCCACGGCUAACUACGUGCCAG
rnacentral:rRNA from 1 species